rnacentral:lncRNA from 1 species
GCCUGCGGGGGCAGCUUCCUUCUUUCCCUCUUUCUUUUCUUCCUUUUUGUCACCGCCGCCGUCUUUCUUCUCGCCGCCUUCAGCAGCCGGUUUCUUAUCAUCUUUCUUGGCUCCGGCGCCAUCGUCCUUCUUCGCCGGCGCGAUCACGUCGACUGGUCUCUUGAACUUCUCCGAAAGAUAAGGAACUAAAGUUUUGGUGUCCAUAGUGCCCACCACCGUGACCAGAUCCUUGGCCAUGUCAAAGCUCACUGUACUAACACCUGAGAACCAAAAUUUCUUCGUUAGUUAACUGGAAAUGACCAUAACGCCACUGACUUCCAACCAAUUUUGAAGAAUCAAAUCAUUUGUUUAAAUUUCGCUCCCGUCAUUCUUUGAUCAAUUAAACUAAUCCAAUGUAGCAAAAAAAAGCUUUGUUUAAUCAGAAAAAGAAAAUUCACCUUUAUAUUUCAAGAUUUUACUUCGCAUCUUCUGGAUGCAACCCUCGCAAUGCAACCGAAUCUUCAAAGGAACAGUGCUCUGAAACAACCCAACAAAGAAGACGAAGUUAGAUACCUUUCGCAACGAAAUAAUAUUUCACCCCCGCGUUGACUGCACGAACGCCACGUGCUACACGUUCAGAAAAAUGAAGUUUUACCUCUUUGGGGGCAGCCGCCUCUUUCUCUAUGGGCUUCUUAUCGGCCGGCUUUUUCUCCUCGGCUUUCUUCUCCGAGGGCUUUUCGGACUUUUCAUCCGCCUUCUUGUCUCCUCCGCCUCCACCGCCUUCCUUUUUGGCCGGCUGAGGAGAGACGAGGUCGACCUUCUUCUUAAUCUUCUCCUCCAGUCUCGCCUUAAGAGCGGCGGGGUCCAUUUUCCCGGUCACCGUCAGCUUGUUAGCUCCGGCAUCUGUCUUCACUUGCUCA